rnacentral:lncRNA from 1 species
CUGAUUGUGAGCAUCUCCAUUCUAUGGAGUAGAGGGAGCUCUGGACUAAAUACAGAAGAAGAGCUUGAUAUGGGAAUCGGGUUUGUUGCUCUCUACUUCCUGACUGUGGCGGCAGCAGGACAGGCUAAGCUGCUUCAGGCUCAUCGCCUUGUACCCUUGGACUGUGAGCUGGAACUUCUCCCUUAAUCUGCUUUUGUCAGACUAUUAUAUCAUAGGGACAGGAAGAGAAGUGGUCUCACACUCCUUUGCUAGUGUCGUAAAUUAUGAUGGCAUCCGGGCACUUUCACCUCAGGUGUCAACUCACCCUCAUUGUAAACCCAAAGUGGGUGUGGUUGCCUGAGGAGACCUAGGCAUCAGAGAAGCUACCCAGUUGGCAUGGGGGUAGACCUGGAACCCAAAACCAGACCCAAAACCUGUCAUUCUCAGGGCCUUGCUCUAUAUCACUGUGUUCAGCUUCCUAGAGUUCCCAUGGGAACAAGGGUGAACCUUGAGGAUGCUGCUCAGUAAAACAUGCCAGUCACCAAAGGAGAGACACUGCAAAAUUCUGUUCAUACGAGACGAGAUACGCUGUUUUGGUUCAUCUUCACACUUCAACUUGACUGGAUUUGGAAUCACUAUGGAAACACAUCUCGGGGUGUGUCUAUGAUGGCUUUUUCAGAAAUGUUAACUAAAGAGGGAAGACUGAUCCUGAAUAUGGUGGUACUGUCAGUGUACUGGGGGUCCGGGUGGAGAAUAAGAGGGGAAAGGAGCUGAGCAACAGCCUGCGCCUCUCUCCUUCCUGACUGCGGACCGUGUCGCCAGCCUUAUGUUCCUGCCGCCAUGGACCACAUGGGUCGUGAUGGAUCACAUCCCCUUGAAAAGCUCAGCUUUGACCCAGAGCUCUAGGCUUGCAAAGAAUGUUCUCUGACCAUGAGCCGAGUCCUCUCAGCCUCAAGUACGCACUUUAAGCAAGACAGUGACACGGUUUGGGAAUCGUCACACAUCGCUGUUCUGGUGUGGUGGUACAGGCAUGUAAUUAUCUCAGUUUCUUGAAUGGCUGAGGCAGGAGGAUUGUUUAAAUAAAACAAUUGCAAGAUGGCUCAGCAGGUAGAAACACUUGCUGCCAAGAUUGACAAACCUGAGGUUGACUACUGGCAUUCACAUUGAAAAGAGAAUCAACUACUGCAAGUUUCCCUCUGGUCUCUAUAGUCAUAUAUAUAUUAUUUUAUCUUUCUAGUGUUUUGUUUUGUUUUGUUUUGUUUUUUGAGACAGGCUUUCCCUGUUAUGUGGCUCUGGCUGUCCUGGAACUUGCAAUCUGGCACCAAACUCACAGAGAUCUACCUGUCUCUGCCUCCCAAAUGCUGAGAUUAAAGGUGUAUAUUUAUAAUAAAUAAAUAUCUUUAAAAAGGGCUUCUGAUCUCCCAUGUGGCUCCACCCCU